UAGGGAAUCUUCGGCAAUGGGGGGAACCCUGACCGAGCAACGCCGCGUGAGUGAAGAAGGUUUUCGGAUCGUAAAGCUCUGUUGUUAAGGAAGAACGAGUGUGAGAAUGGAAAGUUCAUGCUGUGACGGUACUUAACCAGAAAGGGACGGCUAACUACGUGCCAGCAGCCGCGGUACUACGUAGGUCCCGAGCGUUGUCCGGAUUUAUUGGGCGUAAAGCGAGCGCAGGCGGUUAGAAAAGUCUGAAGUGAAAGGCAGUGGCUCAACCAUUGUAGGCUUUGGAAACUGUUUAACUUGAGUGCAGAAGGGGAGAGUGGAAUUCCAUGUGUAGCGGUGAAAUGCGUAGAUAUAUGGAGGAACACCGGUGGCGAAAGCGGCUCUCUGGUCUGUAACUGACGCUGAGGCUCGAAAGCGUGGGGAGCGAACAGG
rnacentral:rRNA from 1 species